CAUAAGCAAGACACAGGAAUAAGCAGCAGAGAGAGAACACGCAGGAAGGAGUGACGCAGCAGUGGGAGAGGAACAGGAGCAACACAAAGUGACACUGACAACUGCACACUGUCAAAUCACAACCCUGCUGACACCCUCAGCCUCAGGAGAGUGCAGCAAGUGACAGAGGCUGGAGAGUUUAUACCUGGGCAGAUUAGCCUACAUCUGAGGGGAAGCUGUAUAAAUCAGCAACAUCCACUGGACGGGGCGAUGGAGUCCCACUACCCAACCAACAGACGCAACGAGGCAAUGUCGGCUGCCAAACACGUCCGCCCCUUGGCAAAAGCGUUGGGGCCAGGCAUAGAGCAGCACCACCGCCCAGGAGGGAGGAGAAGGAUGCCACCGCCAUGAGGACUCUGACUUGGGAGGUAAACAGUGACAGCGGCUGAUGGGUACUUUUCUUCAGGUUGGCUGCGAUGCAAUAAGGAGGCACUGGAGUACUGCACAUAAAUUUAUAUACAGUAUAUGGCUUUGACCGAUGGCACUAAACAUGACUGUGUCGUGCAGGUAUGCUGCUGCAUUAUUUUUGAGGAUGGUGAUGUACCUGAUCCCGAAGCCAUUGGAAGGAAGCCAAAGAUCAUGACAUGGUACAGCCUUUCAUAGUGCCAGGAGGGAGCAAAGGUGAUUUUGUGACUCGACUCCUCGGCCAUCUCGAUCUGACAUUAUCUCUUUUUAAGAUGCUAAGAUAUAGGAAGCAAAUAUUGUGUCCAGAUCCUAGGAAGUCAAAGACCGUGUGUACCAAAGGCAUACGGUUGGUAUCACAUGUGGAAACACUUUUUGUGAAAGUCCACACAAAAGCAGGUACUAGGCUACCGUCUGGAUUUAGGAGUAGCACAAUAAACUGCACUAUUCACUUAAGGGCUAGGCAAUGACUUCCAGACUCAAAAUAUUUUGAACUUCCAUUUUACUACCACUCUUUUCCUUUCUUUGGUGAACAAGUAGUGGUGUAACAAUAUUGUGAAACAGCACGUCAAUUCUCACCAGCAUGGUAGGAAACACAUCUGCAAACAGGAGUAUUAUACACUUACGCAGAAACAUGGGAUAGCACUAACCAUUCCUCACACUUCUGGCCUGAUGGGCAGGUCUGGCUGUCUGAAGGCCUAGCCGAGCAGUUCUACCUGUUGGUGUUCUGCUAGGCAGGCAUGCUUAGAGAGGAUGAGCCACAAGGCUAUGGCCCCAAGACUCCCUGCACGACAAGAUGCAUGGCCACGCCUACUUUUUACUUUGCCCUAAUGCAUGGAAAGAAAGUCAGUGUAGCCCCAGUCCAUUCUUGGUCAUUAUGCACUUCAAUAGGAUCGGUAUGAAGCAAAUAAUGAAAGUAUGUUGGCUCGCUCUGUGCUACCCUUUUUCAGUGCAAACAUUGUUUCUAUUAUACAUAGUCCUUUCACUUCCCUUGCACCAUAAACCCUCCUGUUCUUAUGGUUGGUGUUGGUCUACAUGUAAUAAGGUGCUGUUGAACUGUAUUAUGUUUAUAGGAUACCAGUUUAAUAAAUGUCUCUGCUAAUCAUUUCUGCAGUACUACACUGUAUGUAUGGGAUAUAGUCACAAUACCGGCACCUACAUCCCGGCCGUUCACAAUCCCGGCAGUCGGCAUGCCGACCAACAGGGACUAUUCCCACUCGUGGGUGUCCAUGACACCCAUAGAGCCCGAUGCGUGGCUUCGUUGCGCUAACCCCCUCCUCCGGCAAUCUCACAGCUGGGAUCCCACCGUCGGCAUUGUGACCGCUGGUCACACAUACCCAACCCGCAUGUAUACAGUAUAACCAACUGUACGUUUGUUGCAUUUUCUACAGAAUACAUCUGGGUCUUUAUAAACGCUCUCUAAUAAUCAUACAAUUCCACUUUCAUAACUCUGUUUUACACACAUCUUCUAAAAUGGCGAGAGCUGUGGGAUUUCAUAUAUUUAGUCAUUGAGUUGGCAGGUGUACAUACAUAUGGGGAUUCGGAGUAAAUUAACCCAAGCGUUCUUCCAGUGUUUAUAAGAAUCACGUCAACAUAAACACCAUUAUCAGGGAUUCUACUAUUAUUUCAGUUCUAAAUUACCAAGCUUCAUGUAGCCAUUUAUUUUAAUUACCGAGGUCUAUACAACUUAAUUACUGUUUGUGUUUUCGGUGUACUGGAAAUCUGAUUGGUGCCAGAAUUAGCUUUAAAACCUAGCAAUUUAAAAUGCCAUGUACUCAUUUCAUGUUUCUAACAUAUUUCAAAGUGCAGCAGAAUAUACCGAAUACGUAACAUGUCUCUUUUUUUUUUUUUGCAGAAUAGAGAUCUUACAGAAAUGAAAUAAAAAAAACUUACAAGUCAGAUCCCCUCCUAUACUUAAAUGAAUUGCUGUAAAUGCUGUUUCUACUGUCAGUAAAAAUGCUAGCUGUCAGUAAAUUGUUAACUAAACAAGCAAGUUUUGGCCAGAUAUUUGGAUUUUUUAUUGUAGAGUAAACACAGACUUAUUAUAUUGUACAUAUCGCAGAUGUCCUACAUCUUUUCCUACCCGAGAGCCACAUUCACAGCCGAAAUCUUUCAUUAAGCCACAUGAAUAAUAUAGAGGAUGAAAGAUUACUAUAUAUUAGAAAUGUUCUGCAGAAAUUAGCCUAGUUUAGUAAAUGUAGAUUUUUUGCAAAAGUAUUUUAAAAUGGACAGAAUUUGUUAAUUUAAUUGUGAUUAUAACAAAUCUGUCACAAUCUAAACAUCUGUACAAUUCA